CAGUGUGAACCGUGCGGAGGUGGACUGCACAGCGCCCACAUCUGUUCAGAAGCAGGAACUGCAACAAUGUGUAGCCCCAGACAAUUCCACUAUGGACAGGCUGAUUAGCAUGUUGGAGAAAGUCCUACUUCAGGCCCAAGGUAACUCCCAGUCCGGCAGAAGGCAACCUGUUAAAAACCGUUUGCCGAAUAUUAAAGGACUGAACGACAUACCAUGUUCUGUGUGUAAUGAUAAUUCUCACACUGCUCGUACACACUGCCGUCAGCAUAAUCUGUGCUUCUUCUGCCAUCUUCCUGGCCAUUCAAGUCGAAACUGCCGUCAGAGAGAGCAGCUGCCUUCCCACAACCAGCAGGAAAACUGAAAGAUCUGCGUGGAGGGGAGGACAGCGCAGAUCAUCUUAGUGACACUCCCACCUUGGAUUCUUCUGAUGAUGACUGUGAGACACUGUACAUUAAUUACAGCAGCAAAGUUCCACCACAAAAGACACUAAUUGUGCAAGCCUCUCAGAGACUUUCAAAGACUGACAGCUUGUUCUACACAGAUGUGACUGUUGGAGGAAAGCAUUCUCUCAAAGCCUUGGUUGAUAGUGGAUCAAUGGCAUGCACCAUAAGUGAGGAGGCUGAAGCAAAACUUUCAAGCUGUCUCACAAACCUGGAUAAGAAACCAGCUGCUGAUUUUGUUAUUGUUGGAUGUGGAGGUCAUGUCGUCACACCUUCUGCAUUGUAUGAACUCACUCUAACAGUUUUUGACCUUAAUGUCAUAAUCCCUGUUUUAGUAGUUCCAGGCCAAACUGAUGAAAUGAUAUUGGGCAGUAAUGCUAUCAGAUGGCUGAUUUCACGAAUGAAAACCUCUUUUGAUGGGGCAACUGACUGUUCCUCUCAGAGAGGCAUUCACAAAGACAAUUUGCCCUGUUUAAUGUCUCUGCUGUCAGACUCAAUAUCCUGUGACCCAGGCAUGAAACCCAUCAAAGUGGGCACAGCCAAACUCAAAAGGUCUGUAACUCUCCAGCCCCUAACUGAACAUUUAGUUUGGGCCAAACUGCCUACAUCAGAUGUUUCUUUAGUUGGAUGUUCAGUCAUCAUUGAACCAACUCAGUCCAAAUGCAGACCCAGACAAAUCCUAGUGGGGAGAGUUGUGGCGUCAUUGUACGGUGACGGGUGUGUUCCUGUCAAGAUUGUAAAUCCAACUGAAAAACCUCUCACUCUGAGAAGAAAUGCAAAAGUUGCCGAUGUGUCCACUUGUGUUUCUGUACAGGACUUCCCCAAGCCUGAGCUCAUCCAAUCCAACACACAGUACACCAAAGACCCUGUAAAGACACCAGUAUCUGACAAGGAGAUGUCUCAUAUUCUGAGUGACAUUGGACUCCAGGACUUGGACCUCUCAUCCUGUGAAGUCUCCCUUGAGUGGAAAAAUAAGUUAUUGCAAGUCAUUCAGCAGUAUGAAUACAUCUUUUCUCGGCAUAAAAUGGACUGUGGGGAUGCUACAGAUUUUGUGCACAGAAUACGACUUGUGGAUGACAAACCCUUUAGACUACCAUACAGGCGUGUUCCGCCCUGCCAUUAUGAAAAACUGCGCACUGCUCUGAGUGAAAUGGAGGAGUUAGGAAUUAUUCGUAAAUCACAAAGCGAAUACUCCUCUCCUUUGGUUCUGGUUGUUAAGCCUAAUGGAGACCUCCGCAUCUGCAAUGAUUUCAGAUGGCUGAAUGCGCGAACCGUUAAAGAUGCGCAUCCAUUGCCUCAUCAAACAGAUGCCCUCGCCGCACUUGGUGGGAAUGUAUUCUUUUCCACCAUGGACCUGACUUCAGGGUUCUAUAAUGUGAGGCUACACGAGGAUGACAAAAGGUUUACUGCCUUUUCAUCUCCAUUUGGCCUGCAUGAGUACAAUAGGAUGCCUCAAGGCUUGACCAAUAGCCCUGCAACUUUCAUGCGAAUGAUGAUGUCUAUUUUUGGGGACCAAAAUUUCACUAGUUUGCUAUGUUAUUUGGAUGACCUGAUGGUCUUUGCCCCAUCUGAACAGGUUGCGCUUGAUCGGCUCCAGAUGGUUUUCUCUCGUCUGGCUGCAAAUAACUUAAAACUGUCUCCAAAAAAGUGUCACUUCCUUUGUAGGUCAGUGAAAUUUUUGGGUCAUGUGAUAAGUGAGGACGGUGUAAGCACUGAUCCUAGUAAAGUUGAGGCUAUCAGUGAGGUACAGGAAACUGAUCUCAUGGAGCCUGAUGGUGAGACACCAUGUGCCAGGAAAAUUAGAUCCUUUCUUGGGAUGGUCCUUUAUUAUCAUCACUUUAUUGGGAAGUGCUCUGUCAAAGCCAAACCACUCUUUGGCCUUGUAGCUGAGCCUGGAGCGACAAACAAAAAAGGGCGAGGCAACAAACCCAAAUUCAAAAAGGGUCAGGUUAAACUGUCCCCAUCUGACUGGACUGACGAGUGCAAGGAAGCAUUUAAAACUUUGAAAAACGAUUUGAUAAGUAGUGUUACCUUGGCUCAUCCGGAUUUUAAUGCUCCAUUCAUCCUUGCGGUUGAUGCCUCUUUUGAUGGCAUUGGAGCUGUUUUGUCACAGCUUCCCCCUGAUGGAAGGGUGGCUAGACCAGUGGCUUUUGCCAGUAGGACUCUCUCACGCUCACAGCUAAACUAUCCAGCACAUCGCUUGGAAUUUCUUGCUCUUAAAUGGGCAAUAUGCGACAAGUUUAACCACUGACUAAAAGGGCGUCAUUUCACAGUCUGGACAGACAACAACCCAUUAACAUACAUACUAACCAAGCCAAGGUUAGAUGCGUGUGAACAACGGUGGGUUUCCAGGCUCGCUGCCUAUAGUUUCGAUCUGAAUUAUGUUCCUGGCAGCAAAAAUGUUGUCGCUGAUGCCUUGAGUAGAGAACCAUUUGUUCAGUCAUGCAUGAGCCAUCGCAUCGUAACUGAACCAUAUACCGCACUGCUUAACCAGGUGAACGGUAUGAUGGACAAAACGGUCCAAGAUGCGUUUCGUUGUACGAACAACUGUCAGCUGGUUGUUGAGAGCACAGAUGACAAUGCUGAGGUUCCCUCACAGACUCCCCAGACAUUAACAUCACAAGAUGUGUCAACUGUUCUUGAGGCACAUGAGUCUGGAGGUUUCAGUCAGACAAGAGCCACUGAUCCAGUUGUCUUGCAACUCAGUGACAUUGAUCAAUCUGCCUUGAUGCCAAAGAGUGAACUUGCUAGUUUACAAGGUCAGGAUGGUGUGUUGGGCCGACUUUUCUAUUAUGUGCAGCGUCACAGGAGACCCACCAGACGUGAACGCGCAAGUGAGUCACCUGGUGUUCUAAACCUGCUGAGACAUUGGCCUAAGCUUGUCAUUAAAGAUGGCGUGAUGUACAGAGUUAAGAAAGACAAACAAAUGAACAUGACAACUCAACAGUUUAUUGUCCCUGACUCUUUAAAACCCAAGGUCCUCCAAGGGGUGCAUGACUCAGCUGGUCAUCAGGGCCACACCUCUGAGCCAAUGGAACUGGUCUGUAUUGACUUUUGGACAGCUGAGCUCUCAGACAGGCGCUGUGUCGAUGUUCUAGUUGUAACAGACCACUUUUCCAAGAUGGCACAUGCGUUUCCAUGCAAAAAUCAGUCAGCCAAACAAGUUGCUCGUCGUCUGUGGGAUGACUUCUUUUGCAUAUAUGGCUUUCCUAAACGCAUUCAUUCAGAUCAAGGAGCAAAUUUUGAAAGUCUUCUCAUCAAAGAACUGCUGGACAUGGCUGGCAUACAAAAAUCUCACACCACACCGUACCACCCGAUGGGGAAUGGCAUUGUUGAACGUUACAACAGAACCUUAGGUAACAUGAUACGAGCACUUCCUCCCCAGUCCAAGUCAAGAUGGCCUCAGAUGCUCCGAAUGCUAACAUUCUGCUACAACUGCACUGAGCAUGAAACAACUGGGUUUGCACCGUUUUUCCUUAUGUUUGGCAGGAUCCCGCGCCUGCCCAUUGAUGUGGUUUUCCAGCACGCUCUGUCAAAUAGCCCAGUUGUAGACCAUCAUGAGUUUGUCUCCCGCCUCAAACAUGACCUCUCUGUGGCUGCCCGCAUUGCUCAACAAAACAGUUCAUCUGAACAAGCCCACCAAGCAAUGUACUACAACCGCAAAGCUAAAGGUUCUCCUCUCGAUGUGGGUGACAGAGUUUUGGUUGCUAAUCGUGGUGAGCGAGGGAAGAGGAAAAUUGCAGACAAAUGGGAAUCAACAGUAUAUGAAGUGGUGUCUGUGAAGCCUGAUAUAAAUGUGUAUUGCAUCAAAGAUCCUGUCACAUCAAGGACAAAGGUUCUCCACAGAAACCUUCUACUUCCUGUCAACUUUCUCACUGCUGCUGCCGUUUCUGCUGUUGCAGACCAUUCCCCUUGCCCUUCCACAGCGGGAAGUGGACUCUCUGACCCUAUUGUGCCUGAUGAAGUACAGGACAAUGAAACUAAAACUGUGAACUGGCUUUUGCAAAUGGAGGACAAUAGUUGUAUGGAUGAAGUUGUAAAUCACCCUGACUGUGCUUCUGACAUUCCAGUACGUGGUUCUUCAGUGGACAUUGUGUGUCCUACCUCAAGUGAUGUGACCAAGGAUUUGCCUGAACCUGAUCUCCCUGGAUCUGUUGCACUGUCAGACUCUCCUGAACCAGUUUCCAACCUUACAACUGCAGCUGUCCUCUCUGAGCCCAUUCAGCAUGAUCUUUCAGCUGAACAUAGUACUGACACAAAACUGGACUUGCCUGCGACUGAUGUUGUUUGCACUCAGCCGUCUCUGCUUUGCACUAGGUCGGGUAGGCCUGUUAAGCCUCCAGCCAGACUUAUAUGUGAAAUGAAUGAACAGGUUGUGGAUGAUUCAAUGUCAACUGUGGACUCUCUGUUUUCCUUUGUAAGGACCAUGUUUGCAGGGUAGAUUUGUGUUGUUUCAAAGUUUUUUUGUUUUGUUUUUUUUUCCUCAGUGACUGCUUUGUAGAGCAAUGGUUGUAUGUCAAAAGGUGUAAAUGGCAUCUUUUGGGUCUGUGUUGGUAAGAGUAAUGGCCGCACUUUUGCUAACAUUAUUCCUCAUGGAUAGUUUUGAACUGAUGUGACUACUAUGUGCUCUUUUUAUUGCACUUUUAUUUUAGUGCUGUGUGUACUUGUUUGAUAGAACCCCAUUUUAGCAGAAUUUACAGGGGGUGUAUGUAACAUAGUUGAAAUGGUUCAGGUUAAAUCCUGCUAAAAUGCACCAUCUGCUGGUAAAACGGGGUAUUGCAUUCACCCUAGAAAGAGCGGGGUAUUAUGGGUAAUCCUCAGAGCCAUGAGGAUCACUGUCGAGGAGUUUCUUUCAUGCCAGAGACUGACUUUACCUCGGUGCCCAUGUGUGAAAUGCAGGUAUGUUUUACUAAAUCUCUGUAGCAGAUGGCUUAUAUAAGGCAAUUUUAUAUUAAUAGUUUUAUGUAGAUAUGGUUAAUGUUUUUGCAUUGUUCCAAGAUGCAAGUUCGUAUAAGCUAAAAUAUAAAAAUGGCAUCUAGUGAAUUAAAUGUCAGCAUUUUAUUUUAUUUUUCAGAGCAUUUUAAUUAAUUGUGUUACUUUCUUUAAAAAGGACACUCACUGGUUGUUCCGUUGAUGUAAACCAAAUCCACUAUACGAUCACUGUAAUUUUCAAUUAUUUUAUUUUGGUUACUGUAUUAUGGGUAAUCCUCAGAGCCAUGAGGAUCACUGUCGAGGAGUUUCUUUCAUGCCAGAGACUGACUUUACCUCGGUGCCCAUGUGUGAAAUGCAGGUAUGAAAUAAAGAAAACAACUGAUGCCA